CCUACGGGAGGCAGCAGUGGGGAAUAAUUGCACAAUGGGCGCAAGCCUGAUGCAGCCAUGCCGCGUGUGUGAAGAAGGCCUUAGGGUUGUAAAGCACUUUCAGCGAGGAGGAAGGGUUCAGUGUUAAUAGCACUGUUCAUUGACGUUACUCGCAGAAGAAGCACCGGCUAACUCCGUGCCAGCAGCCGCGGUAAU
rnacentral:rRNA from 1 species